GAACCUGAAACCCUGCACUUACAAGCUGUGGAAGCACAUUUCUUGUGGGACCGCGUACUUUUUGUAGAACGGGCCAACGAGUUACGUUAAGUAGCAAGGUUAAGCACUUAAGGUGUGGAGCCGUAGCGAAAGCGAGUUUUAACUGAGCGUUCAGUUACUUGACGUAGACCCGAAACCGGGCGACCUACCCAUGAGCAGGAUGAAGCGAAAGUAAAAUUUCGUGGAGGUCCGAACCC
rnacentral:rRNA from 1 species